UACGAAGGGUGCAAACGUUGCUCGGAAUCAUUGGGCGUAAAGCGCACGUAGGCGGCUUCGCAAGUCGGAUGUGAACAUCCCUCGGCUCAACUGAGGAACUGCCUUUGAAACUGUCGGGCUUGAGGCCGGGAGGGGGUAGCGGAAUUCCCAGUGUAGCGGUGAAAUGCGUAGAUACUGGGAGGAACACCAGUGGCGAAGGCGGCUACCUGGACCGGUUCUGACGCUGAUGCGCGAAAGCGUGGGUAGCAAACAGGAG
rnacentral:rRNA from 1 species